rnacentral:snRNA from 1 species
GUGUUUACUUCGGUAGUACUUAUACUAAAACUGGAAAGAUACAGAGAAGAUUAGCAUGGCUCCUGCACAAGAAUGACAUGCAAAUUCGAGAAGUUCCAUAUUUUCUC